rnacentral:lncRNA from 1 species
CUGAGAGGCAGGAUCGAUUAUCGAUCCCAACGAGUACGGGCUGAGGGGCGGGAGAGGGGAUGGAUCAUCGAUCAUUGAUCAUCGAUCCCAACAGGCACAGGCUGAGAGGCAGGAGAUGGAUCAUCGAUCAUCGAUCCCAACGGGAAAACAACCCCCAAGUUGCCAGGGAGACCAGACCUGCUGUGAUAACAGAAUUGCCUUCCUGGUGACCGUGUCUUUCCUCAGUUCACAUCAUCUCCCUCAUCCCAAAACUUUCCUACAGCAAGCAGAUUUGUCAGCAGGGGAUGGAAUUCCUCCCUCCUAAAUCCCAGGUUCCUGCUUGUAUGUGAGGCUGGGGCAUGGCCCUGCACAUAUCCAGAGGUUUGCUCUUCUUAGAUCCAGCUUUGUUCAGAUUUUAUCCAUAGUUUUGUUGUAAAGAAAAUGUUUCCUUACAAAAUCUAAUACAUAAAUCAUUCAUCAGUGGCCUUCAGCACGUACAUGUCCUUUGUCCUCAGAUGUCAAAAUACUGUUCCAUGGACGUCAGUCCUUGCUGGAUAACCUUGGCAGGGAGA